rnacentral:piRNA from 1 species
GACAUGCACUACUGACAGACCACAGGGUGU